rnacentral:lncRNA from 1 species
UGGUUUUUUAUUUGGAUUUUUCUUCAUUUUGUUUAUAUAUUUUUUCAUUAUUCGUAGGGCAAGAUAGGUUUAGGAAUUAGGAUGGCAGAAAUUUCAUAGAUUUGAUAAUGCACGCGUCGGGUUGGGUAUUUUUUUUUUUUUUCUGCUUCAUUUUUAUGUUUACUUCAUUUUUAUUUUAUUCUUGUUUCUUGUGGAAUUAACUAGUUUGAAUUAUAUUUUAGUGAGUCAUGGAAUUUAUAGCUAAGAAAAAGCAAGAAACAUAUAUCUUACUCUUACACGAUGAGUUUU